GAUGAACGCUAGCGGCAGGCUUAACACAUGCAAGUCGGAGGGGCAGCGCGAUGUAGCAAUACAUUGGCGGCGACCGGCGCACGGGUGCGGUAACACGUAUGGGAACUUACCCUUUACUGGGACGAUAGCCCGGAGAAAUCCGGGAUUAAUAUCCCAUAAUAAACGAAGUGGCAUCACUUUGUUUUGAAAGCUCCGGCGGUAAAGGAUGGCCAUGCGCACGAUUAGCUAGUAGGUGAGGUAACGGCUCACCUAGGCUACGAUCGUUAGGGGGCCUGAGAGGGGUUAUCCCCCACACUGGGUACUGAGACACGGGACCAGACUCCUACGGGAGGCAGCAGUGAGGAAUAUUGCGCAAUGGAGGCAACUCUGACGCAGCCAUGCCGCGUGCAGGAAGAAGGUCGCUAC
rnacentral:rRNA from 1 species